rnacentral:ncRNA from 7 species
UGGUUUACCGUCCCACAUACA